CUCAUGUACAAGAUCAUAUGCAUGAUAGUUAUUUUUUGCUUUUUCACAUGUUAAGUCUGGAGGAAGAGAGUCCCUCUGAGACUGGUAACCUUGGUGCCAUUAAUGUUCCAUUUAAACUAUUAUAGGCCAAUACACACAAGAAAUAAAAGAACAUGAGCAGGUUUCUUUCACCUUGUUGAUGGUGCUGUUGAUGGUGCUGCUAUUGCUGUUGAUGGUGCUGCUAUUGCUGUUGAUGGUGCUGCUAUUGCUGUUGAUGGUGCUGCUAUUGCUGUUGACAUAGAGCUGGGUUAAAAGGAAGAUGAGGAGCAUCCAUAAUCUUUGCUGAACCUAUGAGAUGGACAAGGAGGAAAGAGAAGAAGAAACUCUGACCGUUGGAUUACAGUGUAUCAAAAUAUCAAGUCAUUCUAAGAUUAUUAGAGACCCACUUCAAAUGCUUGCAAUAUACUGGACUUGGAUACAGGUACUCCAUGUCUAGAGGGUGAUUUUAAAACAGGUGAUUAGGUCAACCACUUGAAAUCAAUAAGAGUAAUCAUCCUUUGAUGGGUAUCAUGAGUUUUGAAAUAGAUAAAGAGAAGAUGUGGACAUUUGAUGUGUGGCUGAAUUGAUUUGAACUAAGUGCAUGAAGUCAAUUUCUCUCUCUCUCUCUCUCACACACACACAUAUACACAUGCAGGUAUAUAUAUAUAGAUAAAUAGCUAUUUAUAGCAGUGAUCUUAAAAUAACUACUUAGUUUUAUGUAAAACAUG